CCUCAUGAAGAAAGGUUUCUGACUACAGAUCCCUCAUGAUCUGAGACCUGCAUGCUGAAGAGCAAGAAGGUUUCUGACAUGAGAAGCCUCAAGACCUGCCUCUCCCUCCUGGACUUGCUCUGCACUCUACCUGCUUGCUGCCUAAGGCUGGCCACUCUGCUGCUGCUCUCUCCCCGAGAAGGUGUCUGCAAUCAGAUUCCUCACCACGAAAGGGGCCUGCAUGCUGAUGGACUCUCCAGGGCCUACUACUGGAGACCUGCUGCAUCCUCCCGGAUCUACUUGGUACCUGCACCUUCCUGCUGCUCAAGACCAGCCAUGCUGCUGCUGCUCUCCCCCUGCGCAUUUGCCCCAGACCAUCAGAAUGUUGUGCAACGGGACUGCUGCUGGAUCCUGGUGAGGCAAGCAGCACAGAGGGACCAGCACUGCACAUCUGCCCUCUGAGAAGGCUCUGCCCACAUUUCAUAAGCAAGCUGGAUGAAGACUUGCCCACAGUGUGGUUGUCACAGCCUCCCGAGGUCUUCUGCUUCUGUUCUUCCAGCAGAAGAGGAAUCAAUCCCCACACUCCAGACUUGGGAGAUUAAGUCUUCAGGAUAGACCACUGUAUUGUAUGAUUGAAAAUAUCAUCUUUCCAGCUGUGUCACUCAUCACAGUAAAGUACUGCUCCUUUGAGUUCCAAAAAGCCCUCUGUGAUCCUCCCUCAGCACACUCUGUGCUCCGGUGCUCUGCAACCACCAGAUAGUAUUGAUGUCCCCUAAUGAAAACAAGCCCUUCCUUUUCCUGGCUGUGAGGCAGACUCUGUGACUCAGCAGAAGCUACUGCAUGAAUAAACAUGAUGGGCCAGAUUCUCCUUAACACAAGCAGCCCUUUCACACCCUUCUGACAAUGCCAAAGAGCAUUAAUGAGAUUGCAAGUGUGCGUUAUGCCCACGUUAAGUUCUCACUGCAAUGCCAUAAAUGUGUGAGGAAGCCUCAGAAUAAAUGAAAUCAGACCCAGUAAGAACAGAAAUGCUACAAUGGGAUUUCUGUGGGAACUUUCCCAAAAGUCAUCUCCCACUGAAACUGUACUCUAGGCUGGUGCUCAUUCUGCUGGUCACAUGUGGCUCCCAGAUCUCUUCAGUUCAUCAGCCUCAGAACAUAUGUGAUGGCGUCUCUGUGCAGUGGAAAAAAAAGAAAUGAAAAGGUGGCUCUGCUUCCAACUCCACAAAGGAUAUGAGCAGGCUGUGUAUGCUUCUGCAAUCCUUGUCAGUCAGUAAAAUUAGAUCCUUACAGCCCUCUCACUUGAAGACAUGUAACUAGCUAGACAUCAGGCAGUACAGGUCUGCAUUUGAGGCAUGAAUGCAGCAGCUGAAUGGUAGGAAUGCUGGAUUGGUUUUGGCAUUGCCAGGACCUUUCUCGUGGUCUGUAAUCUCAAAGGGCAAUUAACAGACUGCAAGGACUGUGUGGACACGUAACUAAUAAUUUCAGAAGAGCUUGUUCUAAUAUAUAACUAUAUUUUUCCUUUCUAUUAUGACUUUUGUAUGAACUCUAAAUGAAACACAGGAAUAAAAUAUCUGCAUUCGUAAUUAUUUUAAGGGAUAUAACCAUGGCUUGCAUUUCUUGCUUGCAUUUAUUUGAGUUUUAAGAUGAAAACAAAUAGUUCAAGGUUAUCCUGAAAAGAAUUUGGGUAAAUGAAACUUUCUUAACUCUACCUAUGAGGAAAGUUCUGUUACUUCCCUGUAAGCCUUUAUAAUAAGGUUUCAUACCAUUAUCAAUGCACUAUAAGAAACUGAUUAUUUGGAAAGUCCAAGAGGCAGUUUUCCAGAGAUGGCUAGUACCAUCUAUAGAGCAAAACAGUACCUCCUACAUGUUGAAGAUUACACUCAAGUCUUCUACAGUGCUACUGCCAUUCCAUGCAAAUUCCUUUGCUAAAUUUAUAUUAGAAACAUUUGCAGUGAUCUUUUUAACCUCCAUCUGUGUGUCCCUGAUGAGAGGGAAGCUGACUGAAAAUUUAAAGAAACCAAUGAACACAACUAUGAAAUUAAAACUGAGGACCCCCUCAACGAUGUAGUUGCCACUUUAGACAUUUACUGACUCUUAUUUUAAAUUUAAGUCAAGAGUUUUAAAGAAAAGAAAAAAGAAAACAAGGAAAAGCCUCCUGAAAGGGUUAAACUUUUCCCCUAGAGCUUCCCUAAGCGGAACUGAUAUUCUUAGUCUGACUUAAGGAUAUGGAAUAGAAAGGCUGCCAACAUCUGUUGUGGUCAGAGACAGAUAAAAGAGACUAAUUCAGAGCUGGAAGAACCCAUGUACAGCAUUCUGUGUUGCAUUACCCUCUUCAUAAAAGCACGCAAAAUAGCAUUCGAUAGUACGGAAGAUUGAGGCUCACCUAAACUUCUUCACUGUAGGGUCCUAGGAGUUCCACACGUAUAUAAGUUCCCCCAUCAUCACAGAAACAGAAAAAGCAUAACAUGAAACAUUUAACUUCUAGCUGCCGAACUCUGGGACUGCAAAUAUUUCAGGAACAGCGAGCUUAUAUUCUCACUACUAUAUAAUAGUAACAAAUGAAACGGAGAGAGGUGGUAGGCGAUUUGAAAGUAAUAUCAAUUUAGUCUGUUGACCAUGAGAAAAUUAGCACAGUACAAAUUAGGACGCUAAUUAACUUUGGAAGUGGAUUAGCCCAAACCCCAUGAAUACAGUCAGGGCAAGAGGAUCCACGGGGGCUUGAAGAGCUAAUGUGGUUCAUGUUCACACCUCAAUUCAGUUCUUAAAUGUACUUCAUGUAGGAAAGUCUUCAAGUUAAAGUAAUCAAAAAUUAUUUCCAAGGAAGCCAACUGUAUUCUGAUGGUAUAUAAUAGGCACAUAGACAAAAUCCUCGCUAUGGACUACAAACUACAAAACACUACAUCCAUUUGUAUUUACUUCUGCUAGAAUCAGUCUCACUGUGGGGCAGGAACUUCCAAUAUAUGAAGUGGAUUUUGAAAGACAGUCAUUUUACUGCAGGAAGGAGACAUUAUACAUGCAGGCGACUUCACUACAUUAUGAAUGUGUCAAGUCUACAUGUUCUUCUGUGUGAGUUCUGUUGUCCAUAUUCCAAACACAUUCAGUGAAGUCAGCAGGAAUUCUGCCCAAGGAAGGGCUGCCACCUGCAUCUUUCAUAGUGGAAGAAGAAUUAUACACCUCACCUUUUUUAUGCAUCAGUAGCUAGGAUGCAGGCAUGGAAUUAAAACUCCCCAGCAGUGAGCUCAUAGCGUGUGCGGCUGUCAGAGGCAGAGAGCAACAGUGGCCACAGGCACUGGGCCCAGCUGCUGAGCUUCUGAAAGUAGAGCUAGAGAAAUCCUGCCCUUAUUUCUGCUCCAAGGAGGUGGUCUAUUCCUUACUCCAAUGGACAAUUGAGCUUAGCAAUAUUUCUAUCUCUAACACCCUGACACGUCCCCAAAAGCAUUUUCCUUAACUUUCAGAAAACAUGUAGAACGUUCUUGGCACACUGCAUUACCAAAUGAAAUCCUACCAGUUCAGAGAAGUUCUCCUUCAGCUACCUCCAUCCAUUUUAAAAUUUGCUUUGCACAUUCUGGCUCUUAGCCUCCCUCAAAAUUUCUUCACUUGAUAUAAUGAAAGAGAACCAUAUUAUGAAGCACUGACUUGUAAAUGCAAUGAAUAAUUAAGGAUUCUGAACAAACACCAGUUUCUUCUCAUAGAUACAUGAUUGUGGAUGCCUCUUGCAAACCAGGUAUAAACUUAGAAGCUGGCUUUGUGAACUCAUUCCUCCACUGCCAAACUGAAAUCUGAUUUUUCAGCUCAAUAGCAUGCUUAUGUGUUAAAUACACACUAAACUAUUAAAUCAUGUUUAUUGAAGUUUUAUUACUGUU
ensembl:lncRNA